rnacentral:rRNA from 1 species
AUGGACAACUUCCUCGCCGUUGUCGCCGCCGCAAUCUCCAGUUACUCUCUCGUCGCCCUGGUGCGGCUCCGACCAGCAGAGCUCAUCAGCUGGCUCCGUGAGCUCCAGCUUCAGCCAGCGCACCUCUUCUUGGCGGGGUUCGUCCCGGCCGCAGCGGCCACCGUGCACCUCAUGCUUCGCCCGCGCGCGGUGUACCUGGUCGACUACGCCUGCUUCCACUCCUCCUCCAACCGCCCGCUCGGCCGCAUCCCCAUGGCCUCCUUCGUCGAGCACACCAAGCAUACGCCCACCAUCGACGACCGCAGCGUCCGGUUAAUGUCGCGCCUGCUGCAGCGCUCCGGCCUCGGGGAGGAGACAUGCCUGCCGGCGGCGCACAACUACGUCCCCACGCACGAGUACUGCACCCUCGAGAACGCCCGCGCCGAGUUUGAGCUCGUCGUCUUCUCGGCCAUUGACGACCUCCUCACCAAGACGGGCGUCGCUCCAGACGCCAUCUGCGCGCUCGUCCUCAACUGCAGCCUCUUCUGCCCCACGCCGUCCUUGGUCGACAUCAUCGUCAACAAGUACAACCUGCGCGGCGACAUCCGCAGCAUCAACCUCUCCGGCAUGGGUUGCAGGUUCUCACUUUCAGUGCAAUUUCGUUGA